rnacentral:tRNA from 1 species
GAGGAUAUAGCUCAGUGGUAGAGCAGGUGUCUAGCAUGCCUGAGGUCCUGGGCUAGAUCCCCAGUACCUACA